AUUGAACGCUGGCGGCAGGCCUAACACAUGCAAGUCGAACGAGUGGCGGACGUGAGAGUAAUGUCUGGGAAACUGCCCGAUGGAGGGGGAUAACUACUGGAAACGGUAGCUAAUACCGCAUACCAUCGGAUGUGCCCAGAUGGGAUUAGCUAGUAGGUGGGGUAACGGCUCACCUUGGCGACGCUCCCUAGCUGGUCUGAGAGGAUGACCGGCCACACUGGAACUGAGACACGGUCCAGCAUCCGACGGGAGGCAGAAGUGGGGAAUAUUGCAAAAUGGGCGAAAGCCGGAUGCAGCCAUGCCGCGGGUAUGAAGAAGGCCUUCGGGUGGUAAAGUACUUUCAGCGAGGAGGCGUUACUCGAAGAGGAAGCACCGGCUAACUCCGUGCCAGCAGCCGCGGUAAUUC
rnacentral:rRNA from 1 species